rnacentral:lncRNA from 1 species
UUCACGGAGACGAGGUCUUUUGUAUCUUUGGUGUAGUUCGACCUCCAUUUUUCACUGGGGUAGCCCACCGCUGUUCCUUCACAUCUCCCUCCUCCUUUUAAGCAAGGGUUCUAUCUAGCUUUUUACGGAGUCACGGUAGCGCAGGAUGGCCACCGAGAAGGUUUUCUUCUUUCUUGUCAGGUCUCGAAUGGUGGGACCUUAAUUGGUGUCAGAACGAGGUUCUUCCCCCAUUUCUGAUGUAAUCAGUUUCAGCUCAGGUUAGGACGA